GCCGACUCCCGGCUGUGCCGGAGUCGGGUGGGUCGGCGGCUAUAAAGCUGUUGGCGGAGGUGGGGCUCCGCGUACUGCCUCUUCGCGGCUCGCUCCCCUUUCCUGGUCACCGCACGGUCACGUUUGGGAGGAAAGGUUGCCAGCUCAUUCUCAAUUUCCUGGAUUUCUCGCCUGUAACAGUGAAAAAGAUCAGCAGGUAACUGCUCAUAGUUUAUCACAGUACCAAAAUGUAUACUGGAUGAACUUCAACCACUUGUUUGAAUCAAGGCUAAGGAGGAAGCCAGACUUCAGAACACUGAAUAAACCCCAGAAGAAAGUAUCAUUUCAGGAACCUGGUUGGGCCUAGGCAGUCUCAUCAUUCUUCAGUUUUAAUCUUUGCCAAACUCACGAAGUGCCUAUGGUCUGGCCCUGGAGUCUCCAGAUGUGGUUUGUGGUGACCUGCCCAGCAGCUGGUGCUUCGUUAACUGCUUCCUGACCAGAGUUGCUUCUCCCUAUCUCUUGCCUUGAAAAGACCUUCUGUUAGAAAUAAGCUGACCUGCUUGAGGCUUUCGCAGUGCUUGAGGCUUUCGCAGUGCU
rnacentral:lncRNA from 1 species